rnacentral:rRNA from 1 species
CGGACGGGUGAGUAACGCGUGGAGAACCUGCCGUAUACUGGGGGAUAACACUUAGAAAUAGGUGCUAAUACCGCAUAAGCGCACAGCUUCGCAUGAAGCAGUGUGAAAAACUCCGGUGGUAUACGAUGGAUCCGCGUCUGAUUAGCUUGUUGGCGGGGUAAAGGCCCACCAAGGCGACGAUCAGUAGCCGGCCUGAGGGGGUGAACGGCCACAUUGGGACUGAGACACGGCCCAAACUCCUACGGAAGGCAGCAG